rnacentral:lncRNA from 1 species
AGGACGAGAUGUCUGCAGCAAGCAGUCCACCCUCCAUUAAGAACCUCUGAGGACAUCAAGAAAAUACAGAAAUGGAGAAACUCUGGCGCCCACGUCCUGCUCUGCGUGGAUACAAAUGGGAAUGGGAAGAAGGCUACGGUUUUGCCCUGAGUGAGAGCCUUGGCUUUUCCUUCCACGGAUUUGGCUGCAGAUCCAGAGAGAUGGGAGCAGGAGGCUUCUGAGGAGAGCUGAAGCCACCAACUGUUCUGGAAGCCCUGGUUUUAGGAGUGGUAAACAAAGAGGGACUCCAAGAGGCUGGACAUGGACAAUGUGCUUUAUCCUCGACCAGCAUCACAGCCAAAGACCAGGAUGAGUCAAGGAGUCUAUGCAAGAUGUAGAAGUGACUGCUGAGCACCCGCUGUGCACAGAUCAUUAAGCCAGUGCUGAAGAGGCAGUGCCUCUGAUUAUGAGCGCACCCUCAAGUUCGCCCAAAGUGCAGUGUGGAGGGAGGAUUCCUGAAUUUGGAGGCCUCAGUGGGAACAGAUAGACCCAAGAGGAAACAAACUAGGAGUCCAGUCAAGCCACUGGAGGCCCAGAGGAUGUUGCAAGGACAGCAGACAUGUGGUUUAGAGGAACAGGGGGCAGACAGGCAGCAGAGUCCAGCAAUAGCUGAGACAAUGGUACAAGGGAGGCUGCCUAAUUUAUAGCACCCCACGGUCCCCAAGUGCUGAUUGUGGCCCAAGAGGAGUCAGAGACCAGCAGGGACAAGGUCUCACUGUAUUGCUGAGUCUGGCCUCAAACUCCUAGGAUCAAGCAAUCCUCCUACCUCGAUCUCCCAAAGUGUUAGGAUUACAGAGGCACAUGGUAGAAUUGCACUUCCUGGCUCACCUUUGGCUGAAUGGGGCCAUGUGACUAGUCAUAGCCAAGGAAUUAUGACUUCUGCCUUG